UGACGCCUACGGGGGGCAGCAGUGAGGAAUAUUGGUCAAUGGUCGGGAGACUGAACCAGCCAAGCCGCGUGAGGGAUGAAGGUACAGAGUAUCGUAAACCUCUUUUGUCAGGGAGCAACGCCGGCUACGUGUAGCCGGACUGAGAGUACCUGAAGAAAAAGCAUCGGCUAACUCCGUGCCAGCAGCCGCGGUAAUACGGAGGAUGCGAGCGUUAUCCGGAUUUAUUGGGUUUAAAGGGUGCGUAGGCGGAAUGCCAAGUCAGCGGUAAAAUCGCGGGGCUCAACCUCGCUCCGCCGUUGAAACUG
rnacentral:rRNA from 1 species